rnacentral:ncRNA from 2 species
GCCUUAUCAAGAGAGGUGGAGGGACGGGCCCUAUGAAACCCGGCAUCCUGUACGAAAAGUAUCAGGUGCCAAUUCCCGCGGUUAAUCCGGAAGAUGAGGA